UACUAAGUGUUGUUGACAAAAUGCAGGGUUGUAAGGCACAGAUGAAUAGUUUUCAGAAGCUUACACCAUGGGGGAGUUCUAUAUUGUUGUAGUAAUAGAAAAGCAGCCAGUGGAGCACCUGUCUUUAGAGUUCGGCUGAGGAUGGCCCGCACAUGCAAAUCACAUCCCUCUCCGAGGACUCUCAAAUAUUCACUCACCUAAGGGGUCACCAGAGAGUGCUCCAGAAGUACAGGCAGAUGGCUCACACCCUACACGCUCAAAACACUGUGACAAUCCUCAACAGCUCCUCUGAGAGAAGGGUAAUUAAAUACCGAAUUUAAUCAGAUUCUUCAAAUUAAAGUCCAGCUGGGCAGCUCUCCCAAACUCCCCUGCUGUUCCCUGUCCCGUAGCCGUUUUUGUGGCUGUCUUCUGAGAAAACCAGAGAUUCACACAAACACACAGGCUUUGAGCACUGGUGAGAAAGCCUCGGAGUGAUAAUUGGCGAUAAAGUAUUCAACUCACAGCUCUGACAGGGUGAUGGAGAACCAUUGGCCCAUGAGAGCUUUCUCAGAUCUUGACCUCACAACAAGGAUGAUAACAUUAAUUCAUUCUGAUAUGUAUUUUUUUUUUUUUUAGAUGAGAUACUGUAAUUUUGGAUUUUAUUUUGCUGUAGAAUAAAGUCCUUGUCUAAUGCUGAAAUGUAGAGCUAGACUUUUUUUAGGUGACCUUCAAUUGCAUUAAAUGUGGUAACAUACAAAUGAACUGUUUUUGUCAAAUAUUAUAAACAUUAGAUUAUACCAAAUGAAAAGAAAAAGAAAGGAAUAGUUCACUCACAAAUGAAAAUUACCCCACCCUCAGGUCAUCCAAGAUGUAGAUGAGUUUGUUUCUUUAUCAGAACAGAUUUGGAGAAAUUUAGCAUUACUGUACAUCACUUGCUCACCAAUGGAUCCUCUGCAGUGAAUGGGUGCCGUCAGAAUGAGAGUCUAAACAGCUGAUAAAACAUCACUAUAAUCCACACGUAAUCCACACAACUGAAAUCCAUCAAUUGACAUCUUGUGAAAAGAUGCAUGUUUGUAUAAACAAAUCCAUCAAGUCAAUUUUUAACUUCCAGCUUCCAGCCUAUUAUUGUAAUGUUUUUGUCAGCUGUUUAGGCUCUCAUUCUGAUGGCACCCAUUCACUCUAGAGCAUUGGUCUCAAAAUCAAUUCCUGGAGGGCCACAGCUCUGCAGAGUUUAGCUCAUAUCACACCUGAUUGCAAGUUUCUAGCGAUCCUAAAGACCUUGAUUAGCUGGAUCAGAUGAGUUGGGUUGUAACUAAACUGUGCAGACCUGUGGCCCUCCAGAAAUUGAGUUUGAGACCACUGCUCUAAAGGAUCCAUUGGUGAGCAUGUGAUGUAAUGCUAAAUGUCUCCAAAUUCCUAAAAAUAUCUCUUUAAAAUAACAAUUGCACAGUGAUUUACAAAAGAUUAUACAUACAGUUUCGUGAAAUGGGAGUCGUCAGCACCAUGGAUAAUACAUGACAGCUUGGCAAACUUUCAGCACCCUGGAGAGCGACAGUGUCUGAGGCCAGAAUGUGAAGCAGGGAUAGAAGCAAUGGCUUUUCUGACAGGAUAACUGAAUAUAGCUAUACAUUGUUUUACUGAACUGUUGGCAAGUGGGAAAUCUGAGCACCGCUGAAAUUUGAGAAGCACAGAAUAUGCUGUGUAAACCCUCUGUCAACAUUGCAGGGUAAUUUUGACUCUCCCGUCUUCCAGUGAAGAGUGAGGGCUGAAU
rnacentral:lncRNA from 1 species